rfam:Smittium mucronatum strain ALG-7-W6 scaffold-1, whole genome shotgun sequence.
GGUGAAAUGGCCGAGUGGUCUAAGGCGCCACGUUCAGGUCGUGGUCUCUCCGGGGGCGUGGGUUCAAAUCCCACUUUCAUCA